CCCCUGCUUUUCCUCCCUGAGCAGGUGCCUUAGCGUGAUGACAGCGAUAAGGCUUGCCGCCCCAGUCCUCGUGACUGGGGUUCUUUUU
rnacentral:ncRNA from 1 species